UUGCAUUGUAGGCACACAAAAGGCCGAGGAAGCCUCGCACCCGAUCCUUUCCAAUUUGGGCCAGAACCCCCGAUCUAGAGCUCGCACGCACGCACGCACGCACCGACGCUCGCGCCGCCGUCCCCCCUCCGCGGUGCGCUGCUCCACCUGCUGUCUGCUCUGCGCGAUCCACGGGCCGAACGGCGACUCCUCGCCGUUCCACCCGGGACCCCCGGCCGUCGUGCUGCUGCGCUGCCGCCGACCCCCGGCCGCCAUGCUGCACUGCCGUAGUGCUGCUGUUGCUGCCGCCGGGCACUCCAGUCCCCAACACUGGGAGAGGAGCAUUACGAUGUGACAGGACGAAUCCACUGAGCACGAGCAGCACAAGAAGUGCGAAGGACGCCAGUGUAUUUGCAACAACCAUGGUCCUGCCCAAUGCUGCGAUAAACCUGAACAAUCCUGCAGCCAUCUGAUUGACAAACAACAGCAGCAAGUACUGCUUGAACAACCUGCGUGCAAGAAAACAACAAGAGGAUUAAUAUUGCAAGAUGAUUGAUAUUUGACGCGUACCUUCCAACAUCUGGAUCGAACCCAAUGACGUAGUAACCCAAGAAUACUGUGAUGGCGACCUCGACGCAAGAUAUCGGUAUCUUGAGGAUCCAAGUUGGUAUGGCGUAAGCCCAUG